rnacentral:rRNA from 1 species
GACAGAGGAGCCAAGCGUUGUCCGGAUUGACUGGGCGUAAAGCGCACGCAGGCGGUCACGCGCGUGGGGUGUGAAAACUGGCGGCUUAACUGCCAGAGGCCAUCCCAUACGGCGCGACUCGAGCCAUGCAGAGGUCCACGGAAUUGCCGGUGCAGUGGUGAAAUGCGUAGAGAUCGGGAGGAACACCCGCGGCGAAGGCGGCCACCUGGACCAGACCUGACGCUGAGGCGCGAAGGCCGGGGGAGCGAACGGG